rnacentral:rRNA from 1 species
UACAGAGGGUGCGAGCGUUAAUCGGAGUUACUGGGCGUAAAGGGUGCGCAGGCGGCCAGGUGUGUUAGGCGUGAAAGCCCGGGGCUUAACCCCGGAAUUGCACCUAAAACUACUUGGCUAGAGCAUUGGAGAGGGUAGCGGAAUUCACGGUGUAGCAGUGAAAUGCGUAGAUAUCGUGAGGAACACCAGAGGCGAAGGCGGCUACCUGGACAAUUGCUGACGCUCAGGCACGAAAGCGUGGGGAGCAAAAGGG